rnacentral:rRNA from 1 species
GAUGAACGCUGGCGGCGUGCCUAAUACAUGCAAGUCGAGCGAAUGGAUUAAGAGCUUGCUCUUAUGAAGUUAGCGGCGGACGGGUGAGUAACGCGUGGGUAACCUGCCCAUAAGACUGGGAUAACUCCGGGAAACCGGGGCUAAUACCGGAUAACAUUUUGAACCGCAUGGUUCGAAAUUGAAAGGCGGCUUCGGCUGUCACUUAUGGAUGGACCCGCGUCGCAUUAGCUAGUUGGUGAGGUAACGGCGCACCAAGGCAACGAUGCGUAGCCGACUUGGGAGGGUGUUCGGCCACACUGGGACUGAGACACGGCCCAGACUCCUACGGGAGGCAGCAGUAGGGAAUCUUCCGCAAUGGACGAAAGUCUGACGGAGCAACGCCGCGUGAGUGAUGAAGGCUUUCGGGUCGUAAAACUCUGUUGUUAGGGAAGAACAAGUGCUAGUUGAAUAAGCUGGCACCUUGACGGUACCUAACCAGAAAGCCACGGCUAACUACGUGCCAGCAGCCGCGGUAA